UACGUAGGCAGCAAGCGUUGUUCGGAGUUACUGGGCGUAAAGGGUGCGUAGGCGGCCCUGUAAGUAUGGUGUGAAAUCUCCCGGCUUAACUGGGAGGGUGCGCUAUAGACUGCGGGGCUCGAGUGUGGGAGAGGAAAGUGGAAUUCCUGGUGUAGCGGUGAAAUGCGUAGAUAUCAGGAGGAACACCGGUGGUGUAAACGGCUUUCUGGACCGUAACUGACGCUGAGACACGAAAGCGUGGGUAGCAAACAGG
rnacentral:rRNA from 1 species